GUUUUGGUUUCAAUCUGGACUCUCACAGGGGUAAAUGCCCGAACACUGAGUGAGGACCAGGCAGAAACAUUACAUAAUCUUCAUAAACGCUCUAGUGUUUGCUAUGACGACCUUGGUUGCUACAGCACGGGAAGUCCCUUUUGGAGCAUCCAUCGGCCCCUGAACAUCCUCCCUCAGAGACCAGAGAAGAUCAACACGAGGUUCUUCCUGUAUACUAGAUCGAACACAGGUCAUUACACUCAACUCGUCGCCAAUGACUACGACAGCAUUCGGAAUUCCCACUUUGAUAGAACGAAAGACACCAAAUUCGUAUCGCACGGGUUCCUCGAAAAUGGUUUCGUCGACUGGAUGGCGGUACGUCGCCGUUUUAAAUAAAGCAUGGUAUUUUAGACUGCUUGGAAUGUAAAUUCCGAGUAAGUUUAUCCUUUUUUUUCGCAGAAAAUGAAGGAUGCGUUUCUGAAGGCGGACGACUUGAACGUCAUUCUGAUUGACUGGGGCGGUGGGUCUUCAUUCCCAUACACCCAGGCCACAGCUAACACACGUGUUGUUGGAGCUGAAAUUGCUAAGCUCAUCAAAAUCUUACAAAGAGUUUCCAAUGCCGAUCCAACAAAGAUCCACGUCAUUGGACACAGUCUUGGCGCGCACAUUGCUGGGUACGCCGGAGAAAAGACGCCCAACCUGGGGAGAAUCACGGGUCUUGAUCCUGCUGGACCCUACUUUGCAAACACUGACAUAGCUGUCCGCUUAGAUCCUAGUGACGCAAUCUUUGUUGACGCUUUACAUACAGACUCCGAGAACUUGGUCCCAAACAUCGGAUUUGGAAUGAUGCAAGCUGUGGGUCACGUGGACUUUUAUCCAAAUGGCGGCAAAGAUCAACCCGGAUGCAACGCCGACCCAGUAACACAAAUAUUGAUACAGGGAGGAAUAUAUGACGGUUAUCUUAACUAUUCAAAAUCUUUCUUCGAAAUACUCCAGGGUGGACCUUCAGGUUAUAUCUUAUCUUUACUCGUUAUAUAACAAUGUUUCAGGGACAAAACAAUUUAUUGCAUGCAACCACUUACGAGCUUAUGAGUAUUUUACGGAAUCGAUCAACAGCCAAUGCCCAUUCGAAGGCUACAGUUGUGAUUCUUUCGACCACUUUCAGGUACCGACUAUAUGACAUCAAAAAGCAUUUUCGUAUUAUUUCGAUCUUGUUUCCAAGACUUGAACUGCAUUCUUGUGACCCAUUUUCAGGAUGGCACAUGUCAUUUAGACUGUACUGUACCAGGCGGUUGUGGUAAAAUGGGUUAUCAUGCCGACGAGUUAAAAUCUGUGAAAAGCGCUUACGGCAAAAAGUUUUUCAUGAAAACAACAUCACGAGCCCCAUAUUGUGGUGAGAAAGCAUUUCAAUUGUUUCUCGUUUUGAAAGAAAGAAAUUGGUAAAGAGAGUGAGGAGAGAGUAGUAAUUUCUUCCCCUUCUUUCUGUUGAAUCUGGUGUUCAGAAUAUCACUACGCUCUCCGUGUGACUUUGGGCAAUCCAUCGGGCUCCUAUCAAUGGCGCGGUGAACUCAGGGCAAACAUACAUGGCACGAACGGGCAACUUGGUGAAAGAGUGGUCACCGACGACUAUGUCUAUUUCAACCCCGGCCAGAGCUACUCGUUUCUCAUAGCCGUGCCCCACAACAUCGGCGAGAUUCGCGACGUGUCCCUGCAUUGGGUUCAUCACGGCAUCAGUAUCAAUCCAUUCCAGUGGAACCCAUUCCAUCUCAGACACCCGGAGUUGUUUUUCCAAAGCGUUGAAGUUGUAGCCGGGGAUUCUUUUCAAAAAAUUAAAUUUUGUGGUACAGGUGGAACAGAAAGCAAUUCCCAAAGAACUCUCAGUACCAAAUGCUGACGUCACUUGGUGUAUGUGUAUUAUUCAGUAGAAAUAAACAAACCAACGUU
rnacentral:misc_RNA from 1 species